UACGGAGGGUGCGAGCGUUGUCCGGAAUCACUGGGCGUAAAGGGCGCGUAGGUGGCCUGUGGAAGUCUGCGGUGAAAGCCCGGCGCUCAACGCCGGGUCGGCCGUGGAUACUCUCGGGCUUGAGCUUACUAGAGGCAGAUGGAAUUCCGGGUGUAGCGGUGGAAUGCGCAGAUAUCAGGAGGAACACCGGUGGCGAAAGCGACGUGCUGGACCUCUUCUGACGCUGAGGCGCGAAAGCUAGGGGAGCAAACGGG
rnacentral:rRNA from 1 species